rnacentral:rRNA from 1 species
GAGCGGUAACAGAAAGUAGCUUGCUACUUUGCUGACGAGCGGCGGACGGGUGAGUAAUGCUUGGGAAUAUGCCUUUUGGUGGGGGACAACAGUUGGAAACGACUGCUAAUACCGCAUAAUGUCUACGGACCAAAGUGGGGGACCUUCGGGCCUCACGCCAAAAGAUUAGCCCAAGUGGGAUUAGCUAGUUGGUAAGGUAAUGGCUUACCAAGGCAACGAUCCCUAGCUGGUUUGAGAGGAUGAUCAGCCACACUGGGACUGAGACACGGCCCAGACUCCUACGGGAGGCAGCAGUGGGGAAUAUUGCACAAUGGGCGCAAGCCUGAUGCAGCCAUGCCGCGUGUGUGAAGAAGGCCUUCGGGUUGUAAAGCACUUUCAGUAAGGAGGAAAGGGUAGUCUUUAAUAGAGGUUAUCUGUGACGUUACUUACAGAAGAAGCACC